GGGAGUCAGUUUAGGUAAAUCCGGACUGGCAAUUCUGAGACGUGAUGACGAGUCUCUUUUGAGACGAAGUGAUUGAUGCCAUACUCCCAGGAAAAACCUCUAAGCUUCAGGUAAUAAGUAACCGUACCCCAAACCGACACAGGUGGGUGGGAUGAAAAUUCUAAGGCGCUUGAGAGAACUCUGGUGAAGGAACUAGGCAAAAUUGUACCGUAACUUCGGGAGAAGGUACGCCCCUGGUAUGUGAAGAGACUUGCUCUCGGAGCAGAAGGGGGUUGCAAUAAAAUGGUGGCUGCAACUGUUUAUUAAAAACAUAGCACUCUGCAAACUCGAAAGAGGAAGUAUAGGGUGUGACGCCUGCCCGGUGCCGGAAGGUUAAUUGAUGGGGUUAGUCUUCGGACGAAGCUCUUGAUCGAAGCCCCGGUAAACGGCGGCCGUAACAAUAACGGUCCUAAGGUAGCGAAAUUCCUUGUCGGGUAAGUUCCGACCUGCACGAAUGGCGUAAUGAUGGCCACACUGUCUCCACCAGAGACUCAGUGAAAUUGAAAUCGCUGUUAAGAUGCAGCGUACCCGCGGCUAGACGGAAAGACCCCGUGAACCUUUACUACAGCUUUGCACUGGACUUUGAACCUAUUUGUGUAGGAUAGGUGGGAGGCUUCGAAACCGAGACGCUAGUUUCGGUGGAGCCAACCUUGAAAUACCACCCUGGUAUGUUUGAAGUUCUAACCUAGACCCGUUAUCCGGGUUGGGGACAGUGUAUGGUGGGUAGUUUGACUGGGGCGGUCUCCUCCCAAAGAGUAACGGAGGAGCACGAAGGUACCCUCAGCGCGGUCGGACAUCGCGCAAUGAGUGCAAAGGCAUAAGGGUGCUUGACUGUGAGACAGACAAGUCGAGCAGGUACGAAAGUAGGUCUUAGUGAUCCGGUGGUUCUGUAUGGAAGGGCCAUCGCUCAACGGAUAAAAGGUACUCCGGGGAUAACAGGCUGAUACCGCCCAAGAGUUCAUAUCGACGGCGGUGUUUGGCACCUCGAUGUCGGCUCAUCACAUCCUGGGGCUGAAGUCGGUCCCAAGGGUAUGGCUGUUCGCCAUUUAAAGUGGUACGCGAGCUGGGUUUAGAACGUCGUGAGACAGUUCGGUCCCUAUCUGCCGUGGGCGUUCGAGAUUUGAGGGAAGCUGCUCCUAGUACGAGAGGACCGGAGUGGACGUACCCCUGGUGUUCCGGUUGUCACGCCAGUGGCAUUGCCGGGUAGCUACGUACGGACAGGAUAACCGCUGAAAGCAUCUAAGCGGGAAGCCCCUCCCAAGAUAAGAUCUCGCUGGAACUUUAAGUUCCCUGUAGGUCCGUUAAAGACUAUGACGUUGAUAGGCUGGGUGUAGAAGCACAGUAAUGUGUGAAGCUAACCAGUACUAAUUGACCGUGAGGCUUGACC
rnacentral:rRNA from 1 species